UACGUAGGGUGCAAGCGUUGUCCGGAAUCAUUGGGCGUAAAGAGCGUGUAGGCGGCCCGGUAAGUCCGCUGUGAAAGUCCAGGGCUCAACCCUGGAAUGCCGGUGGAAACUGUCGGGCUAGAGUCCGGAAGAGGCGAGUGGAAUUCCUGGUGUAGCGGUGAAAUGCGCAGAUAUCAGGAGGAACACCAAUGGCGAAGGCAGCUCGCUGGGACGGUACUGACGCUGAGACGCGAAAGCGUGGGGAGCAAACAGG
rnacentral:rRNA from 1 species